AUGUCUCUGUCUCUGUCUCUGACUGGGUGUCUGUCUCUGACUGGGUGUCUGACUGGGUGUCUGUCUGUGUCUCUGACCUGGUGUCUGUCAGUCAGACACCCAGUCAGAGACACAGACAGACACCCAAUCAGAGACACAGACAGACAGACACCCAGUCAGACAUCCCAGUCAGAGACACAGACAGACACCAGGUCAGAGACACAGACAUACACCCAGUCAGACACCCAGUCAGAGACAGACACCCAGUCAGAGACAGAGACAGAGAAAGACACCCAGUCAGAGAUACCGACAGACAGAGACAGACACCCAGUCAAAGACACAGACAGACAGACACCCAGUCAGACACCCAGUCAGAGACACAGACAGACAGACAGACAGUCAGAGACACCCAGUCAGAGAAACCAGGUCAGAGACACCCAGUCAGAGACACAGACAGACACCAGGUCAGAGACACAGACAGACACCCAGUCAGACACCCAGUCAGAGACAGACACCCAGUCAGAGACAGAGACAGAGACAGACACCCAGUCAGAGAUACCGACAGACAGAGAGAGACACCAGGUCAGAGACACAGACAGACAGACACCCAGUCAGAGACACAGACAGACAGACACCCAGUCAGAGACAGACAGACAGACAGACAGACAGACAGACAGACAGACAGACAGACAGACAAACAGAAAGACAGAGACAGCGACAGACACAGACAGACUGAGAGACAGAGACAGACAGAGAGACAGAGAGACAGACAGACACUCAGUCAGAGUCAGAGACAGAAACCCAGUCAGAGUCAGAGACAGACACCCAGUCAGAGUCAGAGUCAGAGACAGAGACAAAGACAGAGAGAGAGAGAGAGAGAGAGAGAGAGAGAGAGAGAGAGACAGAGACAGACAGGCAGGCAGGCAGACAGAAAGAGACAGAGACAGACACACAGACAGAGACAGACACACAGACAGACACUCAGACACACAGACAGACACACAGACAGAGACAGAGACAGACAGACAGACACCCAGUCAGACACCCAGUCAGAGACAGAGACAGAAAGACAUAGAGAGACACCCAGUCAGAGACAGACACCCAGUCAGAGACAGCAACACAGACAGACAGAGACAGAGACAGACAGACAGACAGACACCCAGUCAGACACCCAGUCAGAGACAGAGACAGAGACAGAAAGACAGAGAGAGACACCCAGUCAGAGACAGACACCCAGUCAGAGACAGACACCCAGUCAGCAAUACAGACAGACAGAGACAGAGACAGACACACCCAGUCAGAGAGACAGACAGACAGACAGACAGACAGACAGACAGACAGACAGACAGUCAGAGACAGAGACAGACACCCAGUCAGCAACACAGACAGACAGAGACAGAGACAGACACCCAGUCAGAGAGACAGACAGACAGACAGACUGACAGACAGACAGACAGACAGACAUACACCCAGUCAGUCAGAGACAGAGACAGACACCCAGUCAGUCAGAGACAGAGACAGACAGGCACCCAGUCAGUCAGAGACAGACACCCAGUCAGAGACAGAGACAGACAGACACCCAGUCAGAGACAGAGACAGACACCCAGUCAGACACCCAGUCAGAGAAAGAGACAGACAGACAGACACCCAUUCAGAGACAAGGAGAGACAGAGACACAGAGACACAGAGACACGGAGACACAUGGACACAGAGAGACAGAGAGACAGAGAGACAGAGAGACAGACAGACAGACAGACAGACAGAGACACAGACAGACACCCAGUCAGAGACAGAGACAGACAGACAGAGACAGACAGACAGACAUACACCCAGUCAGAGACACAGACAGACAGACUGACAGACAGACAGACAUACACCCAGUCAGUCAGAGACAGAGACAGACACCCAGUCAGAGAAAGAGACAGACAGACAGACACCCAUUCAGAGACACAGGGACACAGAGACACAGAGAGACAGAGACACAGACAGACAGACAGACAGACAGGCAGACAGACAGACAGAGAAAGAGACAGACACACAGUCAGCAAAACAGACAGGCAGAUACAGAGACAGACACCCAGUCAGAGACACAGACAGACAGACACCCAGUCAGAGACAGAGACAGACAGAGACAAACAGACAGAUACAGACACAGACAGACAAAGACAGACAGACACAGACAGACAGAUACAGACACAGACAGACAGAGACAGACACCCAGACAGAGACAAACAGACAGACAGAGACAGACAGAGACACACAGACAGACAGAGAGACAGAGACAGACAGAGAGACAGAGAGAGACAGACAGACAGACAUGCAGUCAGAGACACAGACAGACACCCAGUCAGAGACACAGACAGAGACAAACAGAGAGACAGACAGACAGACAGACAAUCAGACACCCAGUCAGAGAGAGAGACAGACACCCAGUCAGAGACACAGACAGACACCCAGUCAGAGACACAGACAGACACCCAGUCAGAGACACAGACAGACACACAGUCAGAGACACAGACAGACACACAGUCAGAGACACAGACAGACAGACAGUCAGAGACGCAGACAGACACCAGGUCAGAGACACAGACAGACACCCAGUCAGAGACACAGAUAGAAACCCAGUCAGACACCCAGUCAGAGACAGACACCCAGUCAGAGACACAGACAGACAGAGACAGACAGACACCCAGUCAGCGACACAGACAGACAGAGACAGAGACAGACACCCAGACAGACAGAGACAGACACGCAGUCAGAGACACAGACAGACACCGAGUCAGAGACACAGACAGACAGACAGACAGACACCCAGUCAGAGACACAGACAGACAGAGACAGACAGACACCCAGUCAGCGACACAGACAGACAGAGACAGAGACAAACACCCAGACAUACAGAGACAGACAGAGACAGACACGCAGUCAGAGACACAGACAGACACCCAGUCAGAGACACAGACAGAGACAAACAGAGAGACAGACAGACAGACAGACAGACAGUCAGACACCCAGUCAGAGAUAGAGACAGACACCCAGAUAGAGAGAGAGACAGACACCCAGUCAGAGACACAGACAGACACCCAGUCAGAGACCCAGUCAGAGAUAGAGACAGACACCCAGAUAGAGAGCGAGACAGACACCCAGUCAGAGACACAGACAGACACCCAGUCAGAGACACAGACAGACACCCAGUCAGAGACACAGACAGACACACAAUCAGAGACACAGACAGACACACAGUCAGAGACACAGACAGACAGACAGUCAGAGACGCAGACAGACAGACACACAGUCAGACACCCAGUCAGAGACACAGACAGACACCAGGUCAGAGACAUAGACAGACACCCAGUCAGAGACACAGAUAGACACCCAGUCAGACACCCAGUCAGAGACAGACACCCAGUCAGAGACACAGACAGACAGAGACAGACACCCAGACAGACAGAGAAAGACACGCAGUCAGAGACACAGACAGACACCGAGUCAGCGACACAGACAGACAGACAGACAGACAGACACCCAGUCAGAGACACAGACAGACAGAGACAGACAGAAAACCCAGUCAGCGACACAGACAGACAGAGACAGAGACAAACACCCAGACAUACAGAGACAGACAGAGACAGACACGCAGUCAGAGACAGAGACAGACACGCAGUCAGAGACACAGACAGACACCCAGUCAGAGACACAGACAGACACCAGGUCAGAGACACAGACAGACACCCAGUCAGACACCCAGUCAGAGACAGAGACAGACACCCAGAUAGAGACAGAGACAGACACACAGACACAGAGACAGACAGAGAGACAGACACACAGUCAGAGACAGACAGACAGACACCCAGUCAGAGACAGAGACAGACACCCAGUCAGAGACAGAGACAGACACCCAGUCAGAGACACAGACAGACAGACACCCAGUCAGAGACAGAGACAGACACCCAGUCAGAGACACAGGCAGAGACAGACAGACACACAGACAGACAGAUACAGACAGACAGAGACAGACACCCAGACAGACAGAGACAGACACCCAGACAGAGACACACAGACAGACAGAAACAGACAGAGACAGUCAGAGACACAGACAGAGACACAGACAGACACCCAGUCAGAGACAGAGACAGACACCCAGUCAGAGACACAGGCAGAGACAGACAGACACACAGACAGACAGAUACAGACAGACAGAGACAGACACCCAGACAGACAGAGACAGACACCCAGACAGAGACACACAGACAGACAGAAACAGACAGAGACAGUCAGAGACACAGACAGAGACACAGACAGACACCCAGUCAGAGACACAGAAAGCCACCCAGUCAGAGACACAGACAGACACCCAGUCAGAGACACAGACAGUGA
rnacentral:lncRNA from 1 species